CUCUAUUGAUGUAUUGUACAGGGUUGCAAAUCGGAGUUCCACUCGAACUCAAUGAAUGAAUCCGACUUAGUAUUUGUUACCCUUACAUUAUUGAAAUAAUAUUCGAAUAUUCCCUUGGCUUUUGCAGGUAUCAGCCGGAUUCAAGCAUUGCCGGUCUCCGGGGAUUUUAUGUUUGAAACAAAAAAUAACCGAGAAUCUCGGCCUGCUGUAUACUCUUGUACAGUGAGGUUGGAUGCCACUUGCGGUCUAUGUCCGAAUUUCAAUAUUAUUCCAAUAAUAUAAGCGAUAAUGCAUUGUUCUGAGUUGGAGUCUAACUCCGAUUCAUUGCUAAUGCAUGAUAAUAUCGAGGGUUUUAAUUUUGCCAGCCAGGAAUAUACUCCUUUUGAUGUUUUUCCUAGACAGAUCCAUAUACUUUCUGCGCUUUGACACAUUAAUCUCUGCUUAUUCCAGCCGGGUAUCUGUUUGGUGCGUUUGUACAACUUCUUGUCUAUGGUAUUUCUGUCAUACAGAAACUGUAGAAAUGAUUCCAGACCACGUAUCCACACUACCAGGCUUUCUCCUUUAACUCCGCAUUCGAUUAAUGCAUCGAAGGCAGAAUCUAUACGGUCUUCUAUAAAUACUAAGGGAUAAUCUAGAGCGGAAGCGCCUUCACUCAGGAAAUAAAGUAACUUACGACAGCAGUUAUAUCUUUGCAGAUUCUUUGGAUUUGAUUUUUUACUUCUACAGGACUUCACCAGGUACCGUCUAUACGCUCCAACAUCAUCUAUGCUGUCCGAUAUACAAUUGUAUAAGCCCUUCUGUUGUAGUCUCCCUCGAACUGUCGAUGUAGAAUAAUUGAUUUUUCUCGUUGUCAGAGAUAUUUCUUCGCCGGGUACCUCUGCUCGGUACUGAUGCUGUCUGUGUUGAUGUUGAGGGCUGUGGUGAUGUGUUUGCUGAUGUUAAAGGGUGUGGUGAUGUCUCUACUGUUGUUGAAGACUGUGAUGCAGGUUCUUCUGCAUCUGAAGAAGGCUGGCUAUCCUCUCCUGAUGGUUGCUUGAAUUUCAUUAACAGGUUACCAUUGUUAGCAUUUCGAAAGCUGACAAAACCAUCUUGAAUGGUAUAGCUGAGGAUACACUUACAGAACAGCAUUACAGAUUUAAAACAAUAGAAUGUAAACUUUGACAUUCUGUGUUUCUGCCUACAAUGCCUUUUCAUGUAUGUAGUGGUAGAAUUACAACCAGAGAGGCGGCACUUCUUGGGUGGAUGAUUGACCAUCUAAAUAGAAAAUGGAAAUUUAAUAUCACAUAAUACAAGACAGUAAUAAUUAAGAUUUACUUACCUUUCUAAGUAUAUUGUAUCAAAGGCAGAGCAGAACUUCUUGUAGCAAAGUCAAAACCGUUGUGGUAAAUUGUUGCUGCUCCAACAACUUGUAUACAACUUGUAUACAACUUGUAUAUGCCUUCAGGGUAACAAACAAUUCUAGAAAAUGUUUUCAACAAAAGCUUCCCAAAACAAAGAACUUCUGAGACGCGUUUACAACAAAAUCUGACAAACAUAUGGACAAUAAAUUAUACGUUGUUUAGGCUGUUUUAAUUUGAAAGGUGAUGAAUUUUGUAAAGUGUUUGACAUUGUUGUGUUUUUAUCCCAUAACCAUUCUGUAUCUCGUUUCAAUAGCUGACGUAGUGUAUCAGUGAGAUUUGACAGCUUAGGGGUAAAUCUGGCUAGGUACAGUCUAGUCCAUAAAGUUUUUCCUAUGGGUCAAAGUUGUCCGGCUUCCUUACACUACUUCAGUCUAACGAGAUUGCUUUUUCCAGGCGUCUAUUCGAACAAGCUUAGUGUGGGAUGAUUUCAUUAAGGAUUUACGUUAGUGUCGGGGGUAGAUAAGUUUUACGUCACGUGCUCAAAUAUGUUGGCAGUAAAGUAAUUUCUGGCUGUUCUGUAGGGACUUUUUGUGGUAUUAAUACUAAACUAAUCUA
rnacentral:lncRNA from 1 species